rnacentral:lncRNA from 1 species
GACGACUGAACUCUGUACCAAUCUGACAACCCUCAUGCAUCACCACUAUCGGCGAUCAACUUACCAUUUUUAAGUGACGACAACCAAUAUUGGCAUCCCUACCUCGUCUACCACUAAUGCAACCUCACCCCGUCCCUACUCAGUAUGUCCCACAUACACGCAUACUUAACCGACUCGCCAGUCAUUCCAACUUCAGUUAUUACCAAACAAUCAACAUUGACUUACAAUUCUCAAAUUUACAAGCAUAUUUACAUAAUAUACACCAAUACACAUCCACACAAAACACAUCUAUACAAAUACACCUUUACACCAAAUACUCACACACACAACCUCUACAUGCCUAUGCUCACUGUUUCCUAACUUUUAUCCUAAUCCCCUUCUCUUCCACUCAAUUCAUCCCGUAUUCCACCUACCACUGUCACUCUUUCUAACCGUUCCACUCUCAGUUCCUCUCUUCCCUCCACUUGCUCCCAGCAUUCUCCUCUCUAUCAUUAUCAAAUUCUCACAACACUUCGCCUCUCUCUCUCUCUCAGCAUUUCGCCUCCCAUUCUCCUGUAUGUGUGCUACUUCUCCCGACUCAUCCUUCCUGCACCAAUUCAUCUCUCCUUCCCAAGGAUUCUCUUACACCUAUUCACUUACUGUCCUCCUUCCCCUAACCGUAACCGAAACCUUACCUUCACUCUCUCAUUCCUCACUUCCUCUACUUCCUUUUCUAGUUCCUCAUACUGUCUAGACGAUAACUCUCCGUACUUAUCGAUCUCUUCUCCCGUGGCUUCCUCAACUUCUCUUCACUCACAACUCCAACUGAACCGUUCCGCCACUCACGAUCUCUCUCCGCUCUCCUAUUCUAUCAAUCACUAUUUCCUAAUUCCAUUUCCUUUGUUGUUUCUAUAUUCCUUCAAUAUUUGUAGAAACAAAUUCACAUUUCAUCAUCAUCUUAUAUUCGGUAUUUAAAUUCCCCAUACCUCCGGUCUCUAUCUUUUUCCGCACCUUCUUAGCUCGCACUGUCGCCUUCCUCCCUCUCUCGCUCUCUCUUCUUGUUCCUUUCCUCUCCAACUUCCCUCUCUCUCGAAUCUUCUAUCAUCAGUUUACUCAUUUCCUUUCCCGUUCUUCCUUUUUUUUUUCCUCUGUUUUUUUUCCUUUUCUCUUUUUUUUUUUUCUUUUUCUUUCUUUCUUUUU